AGUGAACGCUGGCGGUAGGCCUAACACAUGCAAGUCGAACGGCAGCACAGGAGAGCUUGCUCUCUGGGUGGCGAGUGGCGGACGGGUGAGGAAUACAUCGGAAUCUACUUUUUCGUGGGGGAUAACGUAGGGAAACUUACGCUAAUACCGCAUACGACCUACGGGUGAAAGCAGGGGACCUUCGGGCCUUGCGCGAUUGAAUGAGCCGAUGUCGGAUUAGCUAGUUGGCGGGGUAAAGGCCCACCAAGGCGACGAUCCGUAGCUGGUCUGAGGGGAUGAGCAGCCACACUGGAACUGAGACACGGGCCAGACUCCUACGGGAGGCAGCAGUGGGGAAUAUUGGACAAUGGGCGCAAGCCUGAUCCAGCCAUACCGCGUGGGUGGAGAAGGCCUUCGGGUUGUAAAGCCCUUUUGUUGGGAAAGAAAUCCAGCUGGCUAAUACCCGGUUGGGAUGACGGUACCCAAAGAAUAAGCACCGGCUAACUUCGUGCCAGCCGCCGCGGUAA
rnacentral:rRNA from 1 species